UGGCUUCUGAGUGCUACAUUAAAUGAGGCCCAGCAGUUAGCAUUAGCAAAAUAGCAACAAGUGGACACACCAUAUUGAGAACAAAAUGAGCCGAGUGUCCUGUUGUUUUUUUUUUGUAAUCAAAAUAUGGUCACCCGAGGCGAACACCGAGUGGAAAGGUUUAGUAGGCGGUGACGUGAUACCUUGUGGUGUCUCUCAGGUUACCUUUAUCAGAAAUGCUGUGUCAUUGGCUUCAGUGCUCUCACAUCAUUCAUCCGCAUAGGAACAACGGGACUGAAGUGUUAAAGUGACCUGGUAAAGGGAGGGAAAAACGCAACAGAGGCACCAUGUUGUGACUAAUCAUCUCUGCGGUGAGAAACAUCGCAGAGUUUAUCACUUCUUGCUGCUGCACAAAGGAGCUGAAGCCAGCUGCAGCACCAGGAUGAUUCAAUCGGAGUAAAGGACAACAAGUGUGGACGGUCUCAAAGGACAAAACCACACUUGUCUCCUAAUUCUACUACUACUACUACUACUACUACUAGUGUUUGUUCCAAUGAUGACUUUUCCGGAAUCUUCCUCUCAGGAAGUCGGAUAAUGUUUGACAACUGACAAACACAACAACACUUUCCACUGUGUUGGAUAAUGUAAUAAUUGGAAAUGUAAUUAAUAAAAAUAAACAAGU